AACGUAUCUGGGUGUGGUAACUCCACCACCGUUGGCGUUGGUUCAGCCAACGGGGGCAGAGUUCCUGUCCCUAGAUGCGAC
rnacentral:pre_miRNA from 1 species